CUUUAGUAAUGAAAAAGAAUUGAUAAGAGUAUUGAUAAAUACUCUUAUUUCUUUCUUCUGGUGUUUCGUUCAAUGAGGUCAACAGAGCAACAUAACUCAUCACUAUGACAACCAUCUCUACUGUUAUCAGAUCAUUUUAACACCUGCAGACACAAACAUGGUGAAAACUGUUGGUUACCUUUAGAUGCUGAAAAUAAUCUUUCAGUUAAUGGAUUCAAUAAUAAAUGACACUAAAGCCAACUGACCCAUCUCAUCAUUACCGUGAACAUUUGACCCUCGCAGGCCUCCGUCCAUCUACAUGCGGCUGAUAAUGGAAGUGAACUGGGAGGUCUGGUUCAGGUUAAGAAGGGAGGGCAGCAGCCUGAGAGGCGAAACCCGGGGCAAAGAAAGGCUGCAGACCAACGGCUGCUGUUCGUGAGGCUUCAUCACUGCGAGCGUCUGGAUUCUCACAGAGACGAUAAACUGAAACCGUCUUCACACUUCAGUCUGUGUGUUGAAGAUUUAUUGAUGAAAUGACACAAGGACAAACUUUAAAAACCUGCUGCUGUAUUACUGUCACUGAGGUCAAAGGUCACCACAUGUGAAAACAACAGAUAUGUUACAUAUCAACAUGUCAAUCAACACGUUUCCUGUUCCUGUCGUCACUUAUUGUUCCAUUAGUGUCGAUGUGUUUGCAGUCGUACGUUAAGACUCAUUUUCACUUUUUACUAAUUUUCACUUAGAAAUCCAGGAUUUGUUUGUUUGUUUGUUUGUUUAUAAUCCAACUUCUCCUGGAUUUCAGUUUCUUAAAUAAAUACCAAUAAUAAAUUUACAGGAUUUAUUGUGUCAGAAUAAAAACUGAAGAUAACGAGCCGUCGUAGCUUCGCUGCUUUUUAUUGUCCUGACGUUUCACACAAGACGUCACUGAGUUCAUAACGGUAACUCCAGGACUUUCCAGGUCAUUACAGGACUUUCAAGGUCUGUCUUAGAAGUCCAUCUUUACCUGAAAUUCUUCUGUCCUCCCACUGAAAAGCAACAGACGCAGAUAUGAAAACUCCUGCUGUUGGUACCUGGAAUCUCUCUCCAAAGUUCAAAAUAUUCCAGGACAUUCCAGGACUGUUUCAGUCUUUGUCGGGACAGAAGCUGAGUGAGUUUUAAAAAGCAGCUCAGAGAGAAAUGAGGCUGAAAAUGAAUUUGUAAAACAUGAAAAAACAGAAAAUGUGAGAGGAGAAUCUGCUGGUUAAUAAAAGUCGCUGUGAGCCGCAGAGAGCAGAAAACCUACUGAACCAAACAGUAAAAACAAACAAACAAACAAACAAACAAACA